CCUACGGGAGACAGCAGUGGGGAAUAUUGCACAAUGGGGGAAACCCUGAUGCAGCGACGCCGCGUGAGUGAAGAAGUAUUUCGGUACGUAAAGUUCUUUCAGCAGGGAAGAAAAUGACGGUACCUGACUAAGAAGCCGCGGCUAACUACGUGCCAGCAGCCGCGGUAAUACGUAGGGGGCAAGCGUUAUCCGGAUUUACUGGGUGGAAAGGGAGCGUAGACGGCAGCGCAAGUCAGGAGUGAAAUGCCGGGGCUCAACCCCGGUACUGCUUUGGAAACUGUGCAGCUCGAGUGCAGGAGAGGUAAGCGGAAUUCCUAGUGUAGCGGUGAAAUGCGUAGAUAUAAGGAGGAACACCAGUGGCGAAGGCGGCUUACUGGACUGUAACUGACGUUGAGGCGCGAAAGCGUGGGGAGCAAACAGGAUUAGAUACCCGUGUAGUC
rnacentral:rRNA from 1 species